GACGAACGCUGGCGGCGUGCUUAACACAUGCAAGUCGAACGAUGAAGCCGGAGCUUGCUCCGGUGGAUUAGUGGCGAACGGGUGAGUAACACGUGAGCAAUCUGCCCUUGACUCUGGGAUAACUGCGGGAAACUGUAGCUAAUACCGGAUACGACACCUUGGGCAUCCCAGGGUGUGGAAAGAAUUUCGGUCAAGGAUGAGCUCGCGGCCUAUCAGCUAGUUGGUGAGGUAAUGGCUCACCAAGGCGACGACGGGUAGCCGGCCUGAGAGGGGGACCGGCCACACUGGAACUGAGACACGGUCCAGACUCCUACGGGAGGCAGCAGUGGGGAAUAUUGCACAAUGGGCGAAGGCCUGAUGCAGCAACGCCGCGUGAGGGAUGAAGGCCUUCGGGUUGUAAACCUCUUUUAGCAGGGAAGAAGCGAAAGUGACGGUACCUGCAGAAAAAGCACCGGCUAACUACGUGCCAGCAGCCGCCGCCG
rnacentral:rRNA from 1 species